UACGAGAGGCCCAAACGUUAUUCGGAAUUAUUGGGCGUAAAGAGCUCGUAGGUGGCUUGUCACGUCGGGUGUGAAAGCUUGGGGCUUAACUCCAGGUCUGCAUUCGAUACGGGCUGGCUAGAGGUAGGUAGGGGAGAACGGAAUUCCUGGUGUAGCGGUGAAAUGCGCAGAUAUCAGGAGGAACACCGGUGGCGAAGGCGGGUCUCUGGGCCGAAAUUGACGCUGAGGAGCGAAAGCGUGGGGAGCGAACAGG
rnacentral:rRNA from 1 species